rnacentral:rRNA from 1 species
AGUGAACGCUGGCGGUAGGCCUAACACAUGCAAGUCGAACGGCAGCACAGUAAGAGCUUGCUCUUACGGGUGGCGAGUGGCGGACGGGUGAGGAAUACAUCGGAAUCUACUUUUUCGUGGAGGGGAACGUAGGGAAACUUACGCUAAUACCGAAUACUACCUACGGGUGAAAGCAGGGGAUCUUCGUACCUUGCGCGAUUGAAUGAGCUGAUGUCGGAUUAGCUAGGUGGCUGGGUAAAGGCCCACCAAGGCGACGAUCCGUAGCUGGUCUGAGAGGAUGUUAAGCCACACUGGAAAUGAGACACGGUCCAGAUGCAUACGGGAGGCAGAAGUGGGGAAUAUUGGACAAUGGGCGCAAGCCUGAACCAGCCAUACCGAGUGGGUGAAGAAGGCCUUCGGGUUGUAAAGCCCUUUUGUUGGGAAAGAAAAGCAGCAGGUUAAUACCCCGCUGUUCUGACGGUACCCAAAGAAUAAGCACCGGCUAACUUCGC